GGGGAGACACAGACCUGCCCUGGAGCUAGUCUGAGGGGGAGACACAGCUCUACCAAGCAGAAAGGUUGGCUCUGGAUGGAACAUUUUGUGGGGAGUCCCCCAUGUCUGUGAAGGCCUCUGCCUUCCCCGAGAGGAGGCGGGGGAAGUGAUUGAGGGAAGAUUUCAGGUGAGUCCCCCUACUCUCCACACCCUGCCUAACGCCAGCUGUGGAAGGAGGGCAUCAGGACCCCAGCCCAGGCCACAGCAGGGAGCCCAGCAGAGGGAAGCCAGGUCAAACCACAGGGACUUCUCUCAGGCCAAAGCCCCAGGAACCCUUGCUGUUGUCCUAGAACAUGGUGGGAUUGGAGCAGAGACCAUCCCACUGGGAUCCCCCAGCCCUAUCUAGGCAGCCACAGGUGUCCCUCAGGAAGCUCCCCCAACACCCCUGCCACUCUGAGAAGCCAGGACAGAUCUCUAAGAUUGGGACACUGCCCUCUCCCUGGGCCAACCCCAGCCCUGCAAUGAGGCCCCAACCCACUCUGGUUCUCACCUGGCUUCUGCCUCCCAGGGGUGGAGACUGCCUCCCCACUCUCUUCACCCCCAAAGAAGAAGCACAGCCGAGGCCGACAUCAGAGAAACUGUGUUGCUGACUUAGUUGCAGCAGGAAAUGACUGAAAUGGGGUAACUGUCACUCACACACUCACACCUGUGCCCACACACGCACACACAGAGACCACAUCCGCAGCAGGUGGGCCUGGCCAGACACCUAUGGGACACUUAUUGGAGGCCCAAGAAUUAAAGUAAGGGGGUGACACCCAGGAGGCCUGGGAGGGGGAAAGCCCAGUGGCCUCAUGGUCUCUCUCAUCGAACUCCUAAGGGUCCUUCCAUGGCCCUGGGCCCCCGAGGGUCAGGGAAAAGAGUGAGGCCGGGACCAGUGUGAGGAGGCCUCUCCCCUGCCUGAGCGUAGAGUCCAUUCUCAACAGAGACAAAGCUGCCACGUGCAGGGAUGGGUGUGGAGGCCCAGGCGGCAGGGCCCUGGGGCCGGUGUGCAGCGUGGGUGGGGAGUGACGCCCACCAGGACGGCCCCCCAUGGGGGUGAGCUGUGUCCAAAGUAGCUGGGCGGCAGCUGGUGUUGAUAGUGGCAUAAGGGACGUGAAGAGCAGCCUGGGAGGCCUGGCUUGGUGCCUGCGCGGGGGAAGGAGGGUCAAGUGAGUCUGCACAGCUUGGGCCCAGCCCUGGCCCCCCUGCCCCUGCCCCUGUCACCUCAUCCCCAAAGCAGGUCCCCUCCUCACCCAUGCUCGUGCUCUCGGUGCCUGGGGGCUGGUGCGGGACGGCUGGAGCCUAGGGGCAGGGCUGGGAGAGAGCAAGGAUGGUCAGAGCUCUGCAGGGCAUGUGGCCAUCCCAGUGUCAGGGGGACGUGGACAGGGACCAGGUCUCACCGGUGCUUAUGUCGGCGCAGCAGAUGAAGGAGGUAGACACAGCCAAAGAGGAGGACUCCUGAGACCCCCAAGAUCCCGGCCAGGUCUGCCCGCAGAAUGGGGGC
rnacentral:lncRNA from 10 species